CUGACAUACUGUCACAGGCUUUCCUACAAUACAGCCUCUAACAAAACUAGGCUGUCCCAAAUGCACCAACACCUGCAGUGGCGUGUGCCCAGGCUGACUUAGAGGGCUUCAUGCUGGGAGACCAGGAGUUCUUAUGAGGUUAUUCAAAACAAAACACAUGGCAUCGGGGCCUACAGUGGUUCCAUUUGUUUUGUGUUUGUGACCAGAUCAAACGUGCUUUCCUUAUUGAGAAGCAGAAAAUCAGUGUGAAAGUAUUAAAAGCACAAGCACAGAGUCAGAAAAUUAAA
rnacentral:lncRNA from 1 species